rnacentral:ncRNA from 1 species
CAUACGUAAAUUUCAAGAAUUAUAUUAAUAUUUUAUUACAUAUAAAUUUUAGUAUGAAUUUUUAAUUAUUUUAAUAAUUUUUAAAAAUAAUUUAUAGUAAUUAAUAUUAAAAAUUUAAGAAAUUAAGAUUUAGUAAUAUUUAAAAUUAUUAACAAAUUUUGUGCCAGCAGUUGCGGUUAAACAAAAAAUAAUUUAAAUUUUAUUAGUAAAUAAUAAAUAUUAAUAGAUUAAAUUAAAUAUUAAAUUAUUAGGUGAAAUUUUAAUUUAAUUAAAAUUUUAAUAAAUAAUAUGAUUUAUUAAAUUUUAUAAAAAACUAGAAUUAGAUACUCUAUUAUUAAAAAUUAAAUAAAAAAUACUAAAAUAGUAUAUAAUUAUUUAUAGAAACUUAAAUAAUUUGGCGGUAUUUUAGUUCAUUUAGAGGAAUCUGUUUAAUAAUUGAUAAUCCACGAAUAAAUUUACUUAAUUUAUAUAUUUUGUAUAUCGUUGUUAAAAAAAUAUUUUUUAAUAAAAAUAAUAUUUAAAAAUUUUAAAAUUAAAUUAAUUCAGAUCAAGAUGCAGAUUAUAAUUAAGAAUAUAAUGGAUUACAAUAAGAAAUGAUUAAAUGAAUAAUAUAUUUUAAUAUGUAUUUGAAGGUGGAUUUAAAUGUAAUUUUAUUUAAUUUGAUAAAAUGAUUAAAAAUUGAAAUAUGUACAUAUUGCCCGUCGCUUUCAUUUAUAAAUUGGAAUAAGUCGUAACAAAGUAGAAGUACUGGAAAGUGUUUCUAGAAAGA